CCUACGGGAGGCAGCAGUGAGGAAUAUUGGUCAAUGGACGCAAGUCUGAACCAGCCAUGCCGCGUGCAGGAAGACGGCUCUAUGAGUUGUAAACCUCUUUUGUCGGGGAGCAACGAGGCCACGUGUGGCCGAAGUGAGAGUACCCGAAGAAAAAGCAUCGGCUAACUCCGUGCCAGCAGCCGCGGUAAUACGGAGGAUGCGAGCGUUAUCCGGAUUUAUUGGGUUUAAAGGGUGCGUAGGCGGAACAUUAAGUCAGCGGUAAAAUCGAGGGGCUCAACCCCUUUAAGCCGUUGAAACUGGUGAUCUUGAGUGGGCGAGAAGUAUGCGGAAUGCGUGGUGUAGCGGUGAAAUGCAUAGAUAUCACGCAGAACUCCGAUUGCGAAGGCAGCAUACCGGCGCCCGACUGACGCUGAGGCACGAAAGCGUGGGGAUCGAACAGGAUUAGAUACCCUGGUAGUC
rnacentral:rRNA from 1 species